rnacentral:misc_RNA from 1 species
GAGAGUUUUUUAUGCACCUUUAACUUUUGUUCUUAUUCACAUUCAUUUGCAUUUUUUGAUAAUGUUGGAUCGAGUUAAGGUGAUUUGCAAAGAUGCCAUAUCAGUAACCAUUUUUAUUAUUGGGUUGUGGAAAUGGCGGCUUUCUGUUGCAGAUUCAGAACUAGCUGACCACAUGGGCAUCACUCAUUUAGGGAAACCAGUUGAAGAAUUUGUAGUUUAAUGUUGUCCAAAAUGCUAAUUAAGCUGCUUUGACUCUGUUUCUUGUCAUUCUGGUUGUACAGUUGCCUACUAUCUGGGUAGUU